UACAACAAAUUUUGUGCAGCU
rnacentral:siRNA from 1 species